rnacentral:lncRNA from 1 species
CCAGAGACCUCUUUGCUACCUUGAAUGUUCUUGCUCCUUUUCUUUUCCAAGGUAAAUGCUUUAAAACCUUCAGAUCUUAACUUGGAUAGCAGUCUACAAUUGCUUCCUCAUGUCACCCCCAGUCCAUCCUGUGGCCGUCACCCAAUGACUUAAUGACUAAGAUUAUGAAAAGCAAAUCUCCUGGCCUCCAUAUGGAACAAUUCAGUGGUAUAAUGAAUGUCCUCCAGAGCUCUCCAUGGAGUCAAGUUCAAGUCAGUUUCCAGCUGAGACCACAUUCUUGCUUUGCUUUCUUCCCUGCUUCUCCUGAUUUCCUGAGAACACUUCCUCAAUUACUUACUCACACAAGACUUCUGAUCUCAGGCUCUUUCUAGAGAACUCAAGGACACUGCUUUACUUGGAGGAUGCAUUCAGAUUCAUUUUCUGUGUGGCACUAUUCAUUUUGGAAUUCUUAUUUGAUUCCAUAUACACUGACCCCAUCCUUAUACUGCAAGGCACUGUUAAAAUAGCCUGCAUACUCAAUAAAUGGCUUCUGUACAACAGCUUAUUAGAAAAAAAACACCCUGAUUCAACAAACACAAAAUUACAUCUUCAUAAAUGCAAUCAGAAGAAAACAACAGAGGAAACAGAGAAGAAUCACAGGAACUGUACAUGCUGCUCGUUGAAGGAGGUGAAACAGAGCUGCCUAGGUGAAAACCAGGAGUCCUAUCCACUAUGCCACCGCGAAGCAGAACAGCUGCAUCUGGAGCUUGGACUCUUGGCCUUCCUAACCCGGAAGAAUGGAGGAUGGGGCCACGGUUUUGCGGUUACCUGGUGCUUCUGUCUCACAGCUCUUAAGAUUCUGUCCUGA